rnacentral:rRNA from 1 species
AUUGAACGCUGGCGGCAGGCCUAACACAUGCAAGUCGAGCGAGCGGCGGACGGGUGAGUAAUGUAUGGGGACUGCCCGAUAUAGGGGGAUGACUACUGGAAACGGUGGCUAAUACCGCCUACUCUCGGAUAACCCAUAUGGGUUUAGCUAGUAGGUGGGGUAAAGGCUCACCUAGGCGACGAUCUCUAGCUGGUCUGAGAGGAUGAAAAGCCACACUGGGACUGAAACACGGCCCAGUCCCCGACGGAGGCAGCGGUGGGGAGUAUAGCACAAUGGACGGAAGCCUGAUGCAGCCAAGCCGCGUAGAUUAAGGAGGCCUUGGGGUUGUAAAGUACUUUCAGCGGGAAGGCGUUACCCGCUGAAGAAGCACCGGCUAACUCCGUGCCAGCAGCCGCGGUAAUAC